rnacentral:tmRNA from 1 species
GGGGGCGUAAAGGUUUCGACGGGGAUUGUGAACCUGGGUAAGCGAGCAGCGGUGCGGACCCGCUAUAAAAGCCGUACUUUUUAAAACAAACGACAACAAUACUGUUGCGUACGCAGCCUAAUUAGGCUGCCGUCUUUACCCGGAAUACCGCGGCUGGGAUAAGGGCGUCGAUUAGCGGUGCACGUGAAUAAAGAGAAGCCGUGCUCUUUAUCAUGAUUGAAAUGGCUACCGUAAUCGGAAGUUUGCCGGUCAACGUCCGAUGAGGGGAAUCUAAAACGACAGGCUGCGCUCGGAGAAAGCUCAGGCAAAUGAUUUUCGGACAGGAGUUCGAUUCUCCUCGCCUCCACCA